rnacentral:tRNA from 1 species
AGAAAUGUGCCCGACCACAAGGACUAUUUUGAUAAAAUAGACAUAGAGCCAACAAUCUCUCAUUUCUA